rnacentral:rRNA from 1 species
UAGGGAAUCUUCCGCAAUGGACGCAAGUCUGACGGAGCAACGCCGCGUGAGUGAAGAAGGAUUUCGGUUCGUAAAACUCUGUUGUUAGAGAAGAACAGCGCAUAGAGUAACUGUUAUGCGUGUGACGGUAUCUAACCAGAAAGCCACGGCUAACUACGUGCCAGCAGCCGCGGUAAUACGUAGGUGGCAAGCGUUGUCCGGAUUUAUUGGGCGUAAAGCGAGCGCAGGCGGUCAAUUAAGUCUGAUGUGAAAGCCCCCGGCUCAACCGGGGAGGGUCAUUGGAAACUGGUUGACUUGAGUGCAGAGGGGGAGAGUGGAAUUCCAUGUGUAGCGGUGAAAUGCGUAGAUAGAUGGAGGAACACCAGUGGCGAAGGCGACUCUCUGGUCUGUAACUGACGCUGAGGCUCGAAAGCGUGGGUAGCAAACAGG